CGAACAACGCUAAUCCGGAGAGACUGACAUCUGGGCUGUGCCUUUAAGAGUUGGAGGUGAGGUGAUUAGGAGUGUAUUGCAUGUAUAAUGGAUGCCAUUAAAAGGUGUGCUAAAACAUGCAAUUUGCAUUUAAACAGAUUACCUUCCAGGCUGUUUUGUGCAAAAUAGACUGGAGUUGGCCAGGGGUGGAAGCAUAAACCCAUUAAGUGAGGAAGAAGAAGAAACAAGAUGGGAAAAAAAAAUGUCCCUUACAUGUUUGGCUUGAGCUUCUGGAAAGACAAUGUUUCCACUAUGUGAACUGUGAAGACUGGAAAACAGAUGAUUUCAAGGGGUGAAGGAUGCCUUGGACAAGUAAAUUUCAGACACACAGCAGACACUGAAGUAGAAUGGUGGAGGCAGAAGCCAGACUGAAAUUAUUUGAAGAAAAAAUUGAGAAUAAAGAAGUAGAAACAAAGCGUAGAACCCAUCUGGUGAUAUUUUGCAAAGAAAAGCAAAGGGGAAGUAAUGAGAAAGCAAAAAGGAAAUGUUGGGUAAAAGGAGGUUGUUGCUUUAAAUAGGACAGCCAAGCUCGUCUGGUGUGCCGAUGGGAAUCUUCCUGUAGAGAGAGACUGAUAAUGUUGAAGUGAGAGGAAAUAAUUCAAAGGGGUGAAGUCUUUGAGAAGGAGAGAAGAGAUGGCAGCCAAGACACAAGAGGAGGAAGGUAGGAAGAGGAAGAGGAAAUACAGGAAGACAGAGAACAUGAGGAGUAGCACAGAGGCAUGAAGUGGCAGCAGGUGCACAAAGCUGCUGACCUGGAGAGCAGAGAGGUGGACAGCUCCAGGCCAGGAGGGCUGAGGGACCCGAGCAGGUGGGCCAGGGGACGGGCAGGCAGCAGAGACAAGGAAGUGAGGAGGAUUCACAUCAGGGCUGGGACACCAUGGGGUCUGUGGUCCCUGACCAGAGGCAGAGGUCAGGGAGAACUAGCAGGCAGGAACAGCACCAGGCAGCUGCAAAAGGAGAAGUGUGGCACUUAACACGUCAGUGAAACUUUAUCCUUGGACAAACUUCCUUCCUGCCCUUGCUUCUGAGUCUUUCUCAAGCCACAGUGGCACUGGGUAAGUAAGCAACACAGAUGCAUGACCAGGUAAGGGUUGUUUUUUUUUUUUUUCCUUUAGAUGCAGCCUGAAAAACAAAUGCAUAUCAAAUCCUCAUGAAUCUUUUCCCCUAAGGUUUUGAGCUUGAGAUAAAAAUUCUCCUGGGUUUGUCCUUACUGAAUGGAUAAGGGUUCCCAGCGAAUAGAUUUUUUUUCUUUUAAUUAACCAGGCAAUUGUGUUCUUAUCCAUUAUAAGGAGGACCCUCAAAGGACAUCGUCUGCCCAUGGAGUCUUAUGUCCUUCAGAAACCAAAGAUGUCCUCUUAUCUCUUCCCCAUUGCUUAAAGGGAUGGGGACAAAGGAGGAAAACAUAGUUAAACCAGCACCCAUGACUUUAUUUCUUAUUCCCUCAUUCUGAUUAUUCAUUGCUUUCCCUCUUUCAUUCCAACUCUUCAGUUUCUGCAAAUUUCUCCUCUUAUGCAGUGUUUCUGUGUAUUUUUAGCUGAUAGCUAAAUCUGAGAAUAAUAACAGCUACCUUUAGAAUAGUGCCCCACAGAGAGUAAGUCCUCAGUAAAUAAUCAAUUGAAUUAAUUUAAAUAUGAUUGUCAUUAUUAGUGGAAUAAGCACUUAUUAUAUGCCAGACUGCAUUUAACAUUUGUGAUUUCACUGUACCUUCACAGUAGUUUGAGAUUGGCAUUUUUCUCCCCAUUUUACAGAAAAGGAAACUGAGUCACAGAAAGGUUAUGCUGCUUCUCUCAGCAUGUACCAAUGUCUGCUGUUAAAUGGUGGAGUCAGGAACCAAUAGCAGCAGUCUGAACCAGACCUCAAUGAUGAGGGUUUUUGUUGUUUUUAUUUGUUUUAAUUUGAAUUAUAGUUAACAUACACGGCAAUAUAGGUUUCAGAAGUAGAAUUCAGUGAUUCAUCACUUACAUACAACAGCCAGUGCUCGUGACAACAAGUGCCCUCCUUAGUUCCCAUCACCCAUCCAGCCCACCCCUCACUCACCUCCCUCCAUCAACCUUCAGUUUGUUCUCUAUUGUUAAGAGUCUCUUCUGGUUUGUUUCCCUCUCUUCUCCAUGAUGAGGGUUUUAAGGGCAGUAUGGUCGGCAUUGUAACCUACAAUGGGAUUGGGAGCAUCAAAUCUAGGAGGUUGUAAAGAUAUUUUGUGAGCAUUCUUUCUAAAUUUUGAUUAUUAACAAUUUCAAACAAGUAAAAAUAAGUAGAAUAGUAUAAUAAACCUCCCUAUAUUAUCAUCCAGGUUCAAUAAUUAUCUAUCUUGUUUUAUCUAAACCUGCAGUCCCCACCAUUGCCCUAAAUCAUUUGAAGCAAUUCCCAAAUAUUGUUUCAUGUGUAAGUCUCGUAUAUAUCUCUAAAAGAUACUGACUAUAUUUAAAAAAUCAGGAACAUUAUUUCAGCUAAAAAUAAAAUAAAAUAAAAAAUGAGACUACUCUGAGUCUUUAGAUACUUAAUUUUUAAAAUACAUACUAUACCUUACAGUGGAAUGGGAAAGGGAGAAAGCUGUUUUCUGAUGCAUAGAGGUGUCCUGAAAUGUAGAAAGUCUAGAUGCUUCUUUUAACUGUGGAUACUCAGUGAAGGUAAGGUGAGGUGUUACAAGUAAGGAGAUUUAGUAUUAGGAAAUAUGCUGCAGUUCAAGUAUUGAGAUUUUCUUUUGACCUUAAAUACAAUGCUGGGGAAAAUGGGCCUUACUAUCCAUCUUAUUCCCCAUCACCAGAUUUGUGACCUGCCAUCUUUCAGUGCUACUGCUUUCCAAGGAUACCUUUUUCUUCACGAAUUGCUACCUAUUGAAGUGAUGCUCAUUUCAGCCACGCAGAUCUGGACAGUCUUUGCCUCCACCUCUCUGGCAUUUUUUUGUUGACUGCAUAUUCCCUGGCACAUAAGCAAUCUGAAAAUGGCCAGCUAUUCUGAAUUACACACUUAUUUUAAAUGUGUCUGUUUGUGUCAAAUGGAGAUGUUUAUUUUUAGAAGAUUAUUGAUAGAAACUGGGGAGCAACAUUUAAGUAUCUUCAGUUUCCUGAAAGCACGUUGAAUUCUCCAUUAGAUGAGCCACGAAUUAUUGUUCACAUUAUCUUUCUAACAUUGCACGCUUCCUUUGUGUAUUUAAGUGUUCCUCAAAGUAUGUAGAAUUAAUGUUAAAAAAUAAAUACCUACUAUGAGUCAGGUAUUGUCUUAGACUUGAAUAUGAAAUAGUAUAUAAAACAGACACAGUUUCAGCCCUCUCACAAGAGACAGACGUUAAACAUAUAAUCGCCUAGAAUAUAAAAUUAGAAACUGUGAAGGAAAAAAGCAAGAUACUAGAAAUAAUAAUGGGAAAGCCCUCUUUGAAUUGGAGAGGGAAGUGGCAGAGGCUGUUGUGAGAAAGUAAUAUGUGCUGUGACUUGAAGGAUGACCAGAGUCAGCUAGAUGAAGUGUGUGAGGAAGAGUGGUUCAGGCAAAGGAAACAGCAUGUGCAAAGACCCAGAGGCAUGCAAGAAUUUGACAAGUUCAAGGACCCAAAGGAAAUCCAGGACAGCUGAGUAUAAAAGGCAAGUAAAGUGGGAGAUGAGUUGGAAAAAUCGGGAGGUUCUUGUCGAUCACAUUAAAAUACUUGAAUUUCAUGUGAAAUGAGAAGCCAUUGAAAGUUGUUAAAGCUGGAGAGUGAUUUAGUCUUUGAAAGUAUUUUAAAGAUCACCUUGGUUGCUGCAGGGAGCUUUAGUGGAGGACCUUAAAGAGAGGAACUGGGGAGGCUAAUUAGGAGGAUAUGGCAAGAGAAUGUGUCCAAGGAGAAAGAAAGAGGCCUAUAAAUUGAAAGUACAUUUUGGAGGUAGAACCCAGGAACCUAAUGAUGGAUUGUUUAUCUAAUACAGUUGACCUUUGAACAACAUGGGUUUGAAAUGCAGAUCCACUUAUAUGCAGAUUUGUUUUUAUAAAUACAGUGUAGUAUUAUAAAUGCAAUUUCUCUUCCAAAUGAUUUUCUUAAUAACAUUCUUUUCUCUAGCUUACUUUAUGAUAAGAAUGCAGUAUAUAAUACAGAUACAAAAUACGUGUUAAUAGUCAUAUGUCCUUAUGUUAUCAGUAAGGCUUCCAGCCAAUAGGCUACUAGUUAAGUUUUGGGGGAGUCAAAAGUUAUAUGUAGAUUUUUGACUGCACGAGGGGCCAGCUCCCUAACUCCCACAUUGUUCAGGAUCAAAUGUACAGCUUAUAUUGAGAUAAUCAAUAUCAUUUUAGGUUUUGGGCUUUUCACAUAUCAAUCCUAAAUAUUGAUGGCCCUGCCACUAGUAUGGUCUCAUUUUAGACUGAUAAUAAUCAAUAAUACUCAUUGAGCACUUACUGGUUGCCAAAUGCUGUGCUAAGUGCUCUACUUUGAUAUCUCAUUGAAUUCUUCUUCUGAUCCUAUGGAAAGAUUUUUAGAGAUUAGGAAAUGGACAUUUACGGAAGGUAAGCAACUUGCCCAGCCAUUUGGCUUACAAAUAACACAUCUGGGAUUCAAUCUCUUUUCUCCGAUUUCAAAACUUGUUUUCUUAAGUACAAGCUGACAUUGCUCCGGCAUACCAAAAGCAAGAAUGAUAUAAUCACCUGCUUCUCAAGUGGUUCUAACAAUCCCUGUCUCCUGCUGUUUACUCCCUUAUAGAAUCUCCUUCCUUUGUGUGUAGUAUAGACCUUGUGACUUGCUUCUAACAAAUAGGAUAUAGCAAAAGUGAUAGGAUGCCACUUGGACAGUAGAUUUUACAAGACUGUGAUUUCAGUCUUAAUAGCGCUCUUUCUUGCUCCCUCGCUCUCAUGCUCUGAUGCAGCAAGCUGCCACAUGAACUGCCUGAUGAAAAGCCCACAAUACCAGGAAUGAGGAAUAGCCCAAUGUAGAACCGAAUCCUGCCCACCAACAACCACGUGAGUGCGCAGGGAAGUGGAGCCUUCCCUCCUGGAGCGUUGAGAUUUCUGCAGCGAACACCUUGAUUGCAACCUGUGAGAGAAUCUGAGCAAAGGUCCUAAUUAAGCCAUGCCCAGAUUCCUGACCUACAGAAAUUGAGAUAAUAAAUAUUGUAGCUUUAACCAACCAAGUUUCAGGAACAAUUUGUUACACAGCAAUUGGCAACUAAUACAAAUGAAAAUGUCAGUGUUAAUGAUAUUAAUUAUCAUAAUAUCUUGCAUUUGUGUAAGGUCUCACAUUUUUGCAAAGCAAAAGCAAGUUUCAAAAUAAUGAAAUUCGGGAAACAUAUUACUAAUCGUCUCCCCUUAAAAUAUAGCAGCUGCGCUUGAAAGUACCACCUGCAUUUUCAACGAGAAAAAUUGGUUUAUUCACCUGGUUUUUAUUGCCUUAAAUCCCAUCUCUAAAACCAUUUGAAACAUGCUAUCUAGCAAGGGACUUAUUAUCUUCUUUAUACUAAGUUAUUAGUAACAAGGCACGUUUAAACCAUCUGGCCUGGAUGUUCUCUUGGACUUCAAAUUUGUAGCAGGCAGUUGGAUUUCUUACCCUGUUCUGGGGUUUCCUAAUCCCUAUAUCAAUUCCCACUCCAAGAGAGGGACACGGAUUUUAAGCUGUCAAUCAGUAUUUUGCCAGUUGAGAUGAAAUAUAAAGAGCAAAAAAAAAAAAAAAAAAAAAAAAAAAAAAUUUACAUAAGUCCAGGGCUCAGAUUGGGCAAGACCACAAAGAAUCUUUCUAAAAAGUUUUCCCAGAAGGAGCUAAUUACUGUGGGAGAAAGUAAUCUUCAUGUUUGGCUUGAAUAACCACAGAAACAACAAAAUGCAAAUAUUUAAAAAAUGAUGGGAAAAUUAAAAGGAGAAAACUUUUGAUUGCACUCUCACAGGGACUUAACUUUUUUUUUUUUUUGAUGCAGUGAGUAUAAGUGUAAAUGUAUAUAUCCGCACAUAUACAUUUACAGAAAGGGAAAUAAAGGACAUAUACGAAACAUUCAUUCAUUUCACAAAUAGUUUUUGAGCAUCUAAUAAGUGCCAGUGAAUGUAAGAGAUAUAACACAGUAUAGAACAAACACAGUCUCUACCCAGACAAAGCCCAAAUUCUAGUGACAGAGAUAGAUAAGUAAAAGCUAAAGCAAUAAAUCAAUAAAUAAUUACAAGGUGUGAUAGUGAUUGAAAGUGAAAAGGAGGAAUUGUUUACAUUGGAUGUUCAGAAAAGGUUUGUCUGAGAACUAAAGGAAGGGUGGGGUCAACUAUGUCAGGAGCUGGGGGAAAGCUUUCCAGACAAAGGAAACAGCAAAUACAAAAGCCCAGCGAUCAGAACAAGCGUGGAAUGUUCUAGAAACUGUUAAAGGUCCGUGAGCCUGUUGGAAAGUGAGGUGAGCUGAAGUGGAGCAGUCGUCAUGGGCCAGAUCAUUUUGGGCUUUGUAGGCUCUGGAAAGGAGGGAAAUUUCACUCUUAAGUUUAAGAGAAUCUAUUGAAGGCUUUUAGGCUCCAAAUGGCAUCAUGUGAUUUAUGUGUUUAAAAGAUCGUUCUCAUGGCUGUGUAUAGAACAGACUGUAAGCAAGCAAGACUGGACAUCAGAAGCUGAGUAGAGAGAGGUACUGGCUUGGAGCAGAGGGUGGCAAUAGACAUGAAGAAUAAUGGGCAGAUUUUGGAGGCAGGAUGAAAAGGGUGUACGAGCUAAAGGAAAGGAUGAAUCAAGGAAACCUCUUAGGUUUGGUGUUUGAAUUAAGUGAAUGUGGUGCCGUGUAUUGUUCUGGGAGGUCCCUAUAGAGAUCUCUGUAUUGAGGCACCCACGAGAUCAGUUUUGAACAUGCCAAGUUUGAGACGUCUGUGAGAUAUUCAAGUAAAGCUAUAAUUUAGGAAACAGGAUAUCUAAGUUUGAGCUGGAUAUAAUAAGUAUAAAGCCAAUUUUAUUCUCUGAUUGGCCUAAAUUACAAAUAUACACACCAUGUGCUUGCUGAUUUAAUUCUUUGAUUUCUUAAGGAACUGAUCUGAAUCUCAGAUCCCUUUCAGUGCUUUUACAUUUUUCAUUGUCUCCAAACACAAACCGAUAUCAUUAAAAAUGUUUGUUGUUUCAUGCUUUUUCUAAUUUUUUAGUGUGCUAAUUUUCCUCUAUAAAAUAGGCUUCUCAAUUAGUUAUGGAAAAGGGGAGAGAGUACUUGCUCUAAAGCAGGCAGGGACAACAUAACAUUAUUUCACUCACACAUAACAAUUCUCUAAUAUCCUUUUUUUUUUUUUUUUUUUGCAGGUGAGGAAACUGAGGUUCACAGUAUUGAAGUAAC